GGUAAAACAGGAAAAGGGAUUAGGGUUACUUUUACAUGUGACCAUUGAUCGUGAUUUGAACCGAGUUCCUCUUUCUCUACCUCACGAACUCGCGGCGCAAAACGGCGGAGGACUUCGUCUUCUCCGACCGGUUCUGCAAAUCGCCGCCGUAAUCACUUUCGUCUCCAAAUAUCCCUCUCGUCGCCUCACUCUCUCAUUUCUCAAUUCUCUCCGUUCGAUCUCUGACUCAAUCCGUUAUCUCCCCGAUCUCAACUCGCUCGUCUAAACGCUAUCGGCGACGCAUUCUCCAAUUGAGCUUCGACGCCACCACGCACACAACGGCACGCUGUCCGUUAUCCUACAUCUCUUCUUCAUCCGUUCAAUUCGUGUUUCACAGGUUCUUCUUCUCCUUGAUUUUAGUGGAUGAGACGUUGUUCUAUGUUGCGAUGUGAUGAUGUUGUUUGUGGUUAGAAGCUUAUUGAUGCGACUCUCUGCGUUGAUGAUGAAAGGUGAUGAUGAACAGCGAUGGCGAUGAUUGAAUUGAGGAUUGCUUCUGUGAUUAGGAAAAUUGCGAUGAAGAUUCAAUCGUGAAGAGAGUCACUGUCGAAGGAGCUUAUUUUUGGACGAAGAGGUCAAUUGAAGAUUAGCGGUGGAUUCAAGAAGAUGAUGAUGAAGAGGUUCGGUUUAGAGGUGGUGAAUUGGUGGUUGAAUGCGAGGUUCUGUGAGAGGGGUUAUGGUGAAGAAAGGUUCAGGGGAAGUUUGAAGAAGUUUCUUACGGUUUCCUUGAAUUUGUGAAGAAGAUGAAGAUGAUGAAGGUGAGAAUCGGUUCGAGGGAGAGUUUAUUGGCUCCAGAGUUUGUUACCUUUCUGUUCAAGGGCUGCAACUUGGUGUGAUGCAGGGUGGAUUUUGUGAUGCGCCAUUUUCUGCUGCUAGCCAUGAUUAACCUCUGUUUACUUUGCUAUGAGAAGAGAAUUGGCACGGCCAUGAAGCGUGGACAUGGUAUUAUGAAGGAUGAAGGAUAGGUGACGUGAAGAAAAGGUGAAAAGGUGAAGGCAUAUGGCGGUGAUAAUAAGUCCUUUAGGAUCAUAGUAAAGUGAAAUGCAGUAGGUUUAGAAUGAGGAUAUUUUUGUUGUAAUUUUUAUAAUGGGGCUUGGACCUUGGAAUGAUGUAAUGGACUCUUGAGAAUUUUUAUUUGAAUCUCUUUUUGUAACCCAACAACACAAAGAACAAAUGAAGCUUGAAUCGAUGAACAUUUGAAUGAA